rnacentral:rRNA from 1 species
ACGGAAGGCAGCAGUGGGGAAUAUUGCACAAUGGGCGAAAGCCUGAUGCAGCGACGCCGCGUGAGCGAUGAAGUAUUUCGGUAUGUAAAGCUCUAUCAGCAGGGAAGAUAAUGACGGUACCUGACUAAGAAGCACCGGCUAAAUACGUGCCAGCAGCCGCGGUAAUACGUAUGGUGCAAGCGUUAUCCGGAUUUACUGGGUGUAAAGGGUGCGUAGGUGGUAUGGCAAGUCAGAAGUGAAAACUAUGGGCUCAACCCAUAGACUGCUUUUGAAACUGUCAAACUAGAGUGCAGGAGAGGAAAGAAGAAUUCCUAGUGUAGCGGUGAAAUGCGUAGAUAUUAGGAGGAAUACCAGUGGCGAAGGCGUCUUUCUAGACUGUUACUGACACUGAGGCACGAAAGCGUGGGGAGCAAACAGGAUUAGAUACCCUGGUA